rnacentral:rRNA from 1 species
GAUGAACGCUGGCGGCGUGCCUAAUACAUGCAAGUCGAGCGAACGGACGAGAAGCUUGCUUCUCUGAUGUUAGCGGCGGACGGGUGAGUAACACGUGGAUAACCUACCUAUAAGACUGGGAUAACUUCGGGAAACCGGAGCUAAUACCGGAUGAUAUUUUGAACCGCAUGGUUCAAAAGUGAAAGACGGUCUUGCUGUCACUUAUAGAUGGAUCCGCGCUGCAUUAGCUAGUUGGUAAGGUAACGGCUUACCAAGGCAACGAUGCAUAGCCGACCUGAGAGGGUGAUCGGCCACACUGGAACUGAGACACGGUCCAGACUCCUACGGGAGGCAGCAGUAGGGAAUCUUCCGCAAUGGGCGAAAGCCUGACGGAGCAGCGCCGCGUGAGUGAUGAAGGUCUUCGGAUCGUAAAACUCUGUUAUGAGGGAAGAACAUAUGUGUAAGUAACUGUGCACAUCUUGACGGUACCUAAUCAGAAAGCCACGGCUAACUACGUG